rnacentral:rRNA from 1 species
UGGGGAAUUUUGGACAAUGGGGGAAACCCUGAUCCAGCCAUCCCGCGUGUGCGAUGAAGGCCUUCGGGUUGUAAAGCACUUUUGGCAGGAAAGAAACGUCAUGGGUUAAUACCCCGUGAAACUGACGGUACCUGCAGAAUAAGCACCGGCUAACUACGUGCCAGCAGCCGCGGUAAUACGUAGGGUGCAAGCGUUAAUCGGAAUUACUGGGCGUAAAGCGUGCGCAGGCGGUUCGGAAAGAAAGAUGUGAAAUCCCAGAGCUCAACUUUGGAACUGCAUUUUUAACUACCGGGCUAGAGUGUGUCAGAGGGAGGUGGAAUGCCGCGUGUAGCAGUGAAAUGCGUAGAUAUGCGGAGGAACACCGAUGGCGAAGGCAGCCUCCUGGGAUAACACUGACGCUCAUGCACGAAAGCGUGGGGAGCAAACAGG